UACGGGGGGGGCUAGCGUUGUUCGGAAUUACUGGGCGUAAAGGGCGCGUAGGCGGUCUGCUAAGUUGGAUGUGAAAACUCUGGGCUUAACCCAGAGCCUGCAUUCAAUACUGACAGGCUAGAGUUCUGGAGGGGAUAGCGGAAUUCCUGGUGUAGCGGUGAAAUGCGUAGAUAUCAGGAGGAACACCGGUGGCGAAGGCGGCUAUCUGGACAGAAACUGACGCUGAGGCGCGAAGGUCAGGGGAGCAAACGGG
rnacentral:rRNA from 1 species